UGGGGAAUAUUGCACAAUGGAGGGAACUCUGAUGCAGCGACGCCGCGUGAACGAAGAAGGCUUUCGAGUCGUAAAGUUCUUUUAUAUGGGAAGAUAAUGACGGUACCAUAAGAAAAAGCCCCGGCUAACUACGUGCCAGCAGCCGCGGUAAUACGUAGGGGGCUAGCGUUGUCCGGAAUCACUGGGCGUAAAGGGUGCGUAGGUGGUCCUUCAAGUCGGUGGUUAAAGGCUACGGCUCAACCGUAGUAAGCCGCCGAAACUGGAGGACUUGAGUGCAGGAGAGGAAAGUGGAAUUCCCAGUGUAGCGGUGAAAUGCGUAGAUAUUGGGAGGAACACCAGUAGCGAAGGCGGCUUUCUGGACUGCAACUGACACUGAGGAACGAAAGCGUGGGUAGCAAACAGG
rnacentral:rRNA from 1 species